ensembl:snoRNA SNORA62 Small nucleolar RNA SNORA62/SNORA6 family
UACGCACACUGUUAGAACUCAGAGAUAAGGUCGGUUCCUGGCUGAUGAACUCUUGAGCACAGGAAGUGUGCAACAUCAGUUUUGGCAGGAUUUUUCGCUAACGCCAUAAGGAUCUUUGAUCCAAUGAGUGGAGUUUGAUAGUGAUUCUUGCCACAUUU